rnacentral:rRNA from 1 species
AUACGGAGGAUGCGAGCGUUAUCCGGAUUUAUUGGGGUUAAAGGGAGCGUAGGUGGGAUAUUAAGUCAGCUGUGAAAGUUUGGGGCUCAACCUUAAAAUUGCAGUUGAUACUGGUUUCCUUGAGUACGGUACAGGUGGGCGGAAUUCGUGGUGUAGCGGUGAAAUGCUUAGAUAUCACGAAGAACUCCGAUCGCGAAGGCAGCUCACCGGGCCGGAACUGACACUGAUGCUCGAAAGUGCGGGUAUCAAACAGGAUUAGAUACCCUGGUAGUCCGCACAGUAAACGAUGAAUACUCGCUGUUUGCGAUACACUGUAAGCGGCCAAGCGAAAGCGUUAAGUAUUCCACCUGGGGAGUACGCCGGCAACGGUGAAACUCAAAUGAAUUGACGGGG